rnacentral:misc_RNA from 1 species
UUAUGUUCACUUGCUCCUUCUAUAUGUGACAACUCCAAUUAUCCAUCUUUAUAAUUCUGGGAUUUAGAAGCAUACUCACACGUUUAAAAGGUGUUGAAAGCAUUCAGCAUACUGGUAUUAAUAAGAUGAUACAUUUUUCUAAUCACAUAUAGAAGGAGCAAGUGAACAUAAUAGCCAGGUCCUAAUGUGUCUCAACAGCUUUGGCAUCCAAAUAAGAAAUGGCAACUGCAGCAUGGAGAGCAGCUCCCACGGGAAGCACCUCCUCAUCAAGAAAAAAGUAUGGUGUAUGCAACCCUGGAGAUGAUUUUUCAUUUUUGUUCUGUACACCAAUCACGAAAAAUGCAGCUUUCAUCUUCUGUGCAUAAAAGCUGAAAUCCUCUGCCCCCAUAAUGAGGGGCGUAACUUUCACGUUGGAUUCGCCGAGCAAAGCUUCCCCAACUUGCUUGGCAUGUUCAUACAUUGCUUCAUCAUUUACUGUGGCUGGAUAAGGCCUCAUCUUUUCCUCCAUGAAGUCUACAGAAGCAGUGCAUUGAUGAACAGCUGCUUGAUUCCCUACAACCUCUAUUAUCCUUUUCUGAAGAUAGGAUAGACCUUCUGUAGUUAUGCUCCGAAUAGUACCUCCAAAUUUCACCGUCUCUGGGAUUACAUUCCCAGCCUGGCCAGCCUCAACAAACCCCAACGAGAGUACCCUGGGCUCAAGAGGAUCAGUCUCCCGAGAAAUUAAUUGUUGAAGUGCAAGGAUGGCAAAGGAUGCAGCAAGAACCGGAUCUCUUGUAUCUUGGGGCCGUGCAGCAUGUCC